UACGUAGGGUGCAAGCGUUAAUCGGAAUUACUGGGCGUAAAGCGUGCGCAGGCGGUUUUGUAAGUUUGUCGUGAAAUCCCCGGGCUCAACCUGGGAAUGGCGAUGAAGACUGCAAGGCUAGAAUCUGGCAGAGGGGGGUAGAAUUCCACGUGUAGCAGUGAAAUGCGUAGAGAUGUGGAGGAACACCGGAUGGCGCAAGGCGCUAGCCCUGGGACGAUGACUG
rnacentral:rRNA from 1 species